rnacentral:tRNA from 1 species
GGCGUGGUAGCUCAGCAUGGUAGAACCCUGACAAGGAGCUCGCCAAAAGCAGCAGGCUGUUAACCUGUUGGUCGACCGUUCGAAUCGGUCCCACGCCG